GAAAAUCAUUCAUUCUUGGAAGCAAUAUACCGUCUUUUCCGGAUGGUCAUUUAACAAUCUUCUCUUCAGCUUCUGGAUGGUCAUUUAGAUGAGAUCCAAGAUCCAACAAACAUCCCUAAAGGAUUGAAGUCUUUGGUAGGCAAGACUUUUCAGUUUGUAGUGAGUAUUGAGAAAGAUAACAUCAAAGAUGGGAGUGAUGUCUACAAGGUUGCUCAUGCAUGACUCCAUCUAGCCAUCUCAAGGUGCCGAUAAUUUAACUACUAUUGUGAGUUUUGAUCAGGAAACAAUAAUGUUAACCAACUGUGCUGGACAACAUGAUGCAUUAUCACCACCUACCACUACUCCAUCUUCUAAAAGGAAAGGAAAAUGAUGUCUUUGAUCAUUCCUCUUCUUCGAAUAUUUUCACAUUUACUUUAGGCUUCUAUAAUACUUUAAGAAAUCACAAUUCAAAACGUUAAAAUGCAUGGCAUCAAAAAAGUAAAAAGAUUAGAA